CUGGNUCAGGAUGAACGCUGGCGGGUGCNUAAUACAUGCAAGUCGAGCGAAUGGAUUAAGAGCUUGNUCUUAUGAAGUUAGCGGCGGACGGGUGAGUAACACGUGGGUAACCUGCCCAUAAGAUUGGGAUAACUCCGGGAAACCGGGGCUAAUACCGGAUAANAUUUUGAACUGCAUGGUUCGAAAUUGAAAGGCGGCUUCGGCUGUCACUUAUGGAUGGACCCGCGUCGCAUUAGCUAGUUGGUGAGGUAACGGCUCACCAAGGCAACGAUGCGUAGCCGACCUGAGAGGGUGAUCGGCCACACUGGGACUGAGACACGGCCCAGACUCCUACGGGAGGCAGCAGUAGGGAAUCUUCCGCAAUGGACGAAAGUCUGACGGAGCAACGCCGCGUGAGUGAUGAAGGCUUUCGGGUCGUAAAACUCUGUUGUUAGGGAAGAACAAGUGCUAGUUGAAUAAGCUGGCACNUUGACGGUACCUAACCAGAAAGCCACGGCUAACUACGUGCCAGCAGCCGCGGUAAUACGUAGGUGGCAAGCGUUAUCCGGAAUUAUUGGGCGUAAAGCGCGCGCAGGUGGUUUCUUAAGUCUGAUGUGAAAGCCCACGGCUCAACCGUGGAGGGUCAUUGGAAACUGGGAGACUUGAGUGCAGAAGAGGAAAGUGGAAUUCCAUGUGUAGCGGUGAAAUGCGUAGAGAUAUGGAGGAACACCAGUGGCGAAGGCGACUUUCUGGUCUGUAACUGACNCNAAGGCGGGCAAGCGUGGGA
rnacentral:rRNA from 1 species